UUCAAACAAAAUUUAAGAAUAAAGAUUUACAAAAAUUGGACCAAAUCUUGAAAGACAAGAAUAUAAAAUUUAUAGCACGAACAUAUAAUUAUUUACUGGAGGUAGAACUAGAGGAGGAAAUUGUUAAGGGACCAGUGAUUGCCUGGGUGAGAAAUGUGGGUGAUAAUAUAAAUUUGGAUGAGUGGGAAAAGACUUGGACCGAGAACUGGAAGCUGACUUUGUCGAUGGCAUUCAAAGAAAAUCAAUAUAAAAUGUUUUGUAGAUGGCACUUAGCGCUGGCACGACUGGCGAAAAUGUAUCAAACCUUGAAACCAGAAUGCUGGAAGUGCAAACGAAAGAAACAAACGU